rnacentral:rRNA from 1 species
CAAUAGCGUAUACCAAAGUUGUUGCAGUUAAAACGCUCGUAGUCGGAAUUUGGCAGUUCCGGAUGUGUGCACGUCGUGUGCGCACUUCGCGGGGAUUGCUUUUGUGGUCUUGCGUAGGAUGAGGCACUUUUAUUAGUGAACGUCCUCACGCAACCACUUUUUACUGUGAGAAAAUCAGAGUGCUCAAAGCAGGCAUUUGCCGUGAAUGUAUUAGCAUGGAAUAAUAGAAUAGGACUUGGUUCUAUUUUGUUGGUUUGUUGGGACUGAGUAAUGAUUAAGAGGGACAGUUGGGGGCAUUUGUAUUUCGGUGCUAGAGGUGAAAUUCUUAGAUUACCGAAAGACAAACUGCCGCGAAAGCGUCUGCCAAGGAUGUUUUCAUUGA